UGUGUGUCCCUGUAUUUGUGUAGUAAGCUAGUGUAAGAGUCACUUUAAAAUGGAACAAGAAAAUUACUGAAAAUGAACUGACCUAACAAAGUGAUGUUCCUUCAGAGUUGAAGAUAAUCAUACUUCCUAGACCAAACCUUCCGCAGGACGAUGGGAAUAGGCAGUGGGCAAGAGACCAUCGAGACCACCGAAUGACUGUCCAACACGCAUAACGCUCGGCCAGGCAGCCAUCCUUAAUUUUCAUACAUCUUUUCUCCUUGGAAUUUUACUAUGGCCUGUUUCUAGCCAGGACCGGCCUUAGAUAACUGGAGGUCCUAGGCAAUGUGAAUCGGGUGGCCACUAAUUGAA
rnacentral:sRNA from 1 species